GGGGAAUCUUCCGCAAUGGGCGAAAGCCUGACGGAGCAACGCCGCGUGAGUGAAGAAGGUCUUCGGAUUGUAAAGCUCUGUUGUACAUGACGAAUGUGCCGGUUGUGAAUAAUGACUGGUAAUGACGGUAGUGUACGAGGAAGCCACGGCUAACUACGUGCCAGCAGCCGCGGUAAUACGUAGGUGGCAAGCGUUGUCCGGAAUUAUUGGGCGUAAAGGGCUCGUAGGCGGUUCGUCGCGUCCGGUGUGAAAGUCCAUCGCUUAACGGUGGAUCCGCGCCGGGUACGGGCGGGCUUGAGUGCAGUAGGGGAGACUGGAAUUCCCGGUGUAACGGUGGAAUGUGUAGAUAUCGGGAAGAACACCAAUGGCGAAGGCAGGGUCUCUGGGCCGUUACUGACGCUGAGGAGCGAAAGCGUGGGGAGCGAACAGGAUUAGAUACCCUGGUAGUCCACGCCGUAAACGGUGGAUGCUGGAUGUGGGGCCCGUUCCACGGGUUCCGUGUCGGAGCUAACGCGUUAAGCAUCCCGCCUGGGGAGUACGGCCGCAAGGCUAAAACUCAAAGAAAUUGACGGGGGCCCGCACAAGCGGCGGAGCAUGCGGAUUAAUUCGAUGCAACGCGAAGAACCUUACCUGGGCUUGACAUGUUCCCGACGGUCGUAGAGAUACGGCUUCCCUUCGGGGCGGGUUCACAGGUGGUGCAUGGUCGUCGUCAGCUCGUGUCGUGAGAUGUUGGGUUAAGUCCCGCAACGAGCGCAACCCUCGCCCCGUGUUGCCAGCGGAUUAUGCCGGGAACUCACGGGGGACCGCCGGGGUUAACUCGGAGGAAGGUGGGGAUGACGUCAGAUCAUCAUGCCCCUUACGUCCAGGGCUUCACGCAUGCUACAAUGGCCGGUACAACGGGAUGCGACGCGGCGACGCGGAGCGGAUCCCUGAAAACCGGUCUCAGUUCGGAUCGCAGUCUGCAACUCGACUGCGUGAAGGCGGAGUCGCUAGUAAUCGCGAAUCAGCAACGUCGCGGUGAAUGCGUUCCCG
rnacentral:rRNA from 1 species